rnacentral:rRNA from 1 species
GCAUCUAUACUGUGAAACUGCGAAUGGCUCAUUAAAUCAGUUAUCGUUUAUUUGAUAGUACCUUACUACUUGGAUAACCGUGGUAAUUCUAGAGCUAAUACAUGCUAAAAACCCCGACUUCGGGAGGGGUGUAUUUAUUAGAUAAAAAACCAAUGCCCUUCGGGGCUCCUUGGUGAAUCAUGAUAACUUAACGAAUCGCAUGGCCUUGCGCCGGCGAUGGUUCAUUCAAAUUUCUGCCCUAUCAACUUUCGAUGGUAGGAUAGUGGCCUACCAUGGUAUCAACGGGUAACGGGGAAUUAGGGUUCUAUUCCGGAGAGGGAGCCUGAGAAACGGCUACCACAUCCAAGGAAGGCAGCAGGCGCGCAAAUUACCCAAUCCCGACACGGGGAGGUAGUGACAAUAAAUACUGAUACAGGGCUCUUUUGGGUCUUGUAAUUGGAAUGAGUACAAUUUAAAUACCUUAACGAGGAACAAUUGGAGGGCAAGUCUGGUGCCAGCAGCCGCGGUAAUUCCAGCUCCAAUAGCGUAUAUUAAAGUUGUUGCAGUUAAAAAGCUCGUAGUUGAACCUUGGGCCUGGCUGGCCGGUCUGCCUCACCGCAUGUACUGGUUCGGCCGGGCCUUUCCUCCUGGGGAUCCGCAUGCCCUUCACUGGGUGUGUUGGGGAACCAGGACUUUUACUUUGAAAAAAUUAGAGUGUUCAAAGCAGGCCUUUGCUCGAAUACAUUAGCAUGGAAUAAUAGAAUAGGACGUGCGGUCCUAUUUUGUUGGUUUCUAGGACCGCCGUAAUGAUUAAUAGGGAUAGUCGGGGGCAUCAGUAUUCAGUUGUCAGAGGUGAAAUUCUUGGAUUUACUGAAGACUAACUACUGCGAAAGCAUUUGCCAAGGAUGUUUUCAUUAAUCAGUGAACGAAAGUUAGGGGAUCGAAGACGAUCAGAUACCGUCGUAGUCUUAACCGUAAACUAUGCCGACUAGGGAUCGGGCGAUGUUAUUCUUUUGACUCGCUCGGCACCUUACGAGAAAUCAAAGUC